GUCUUUUUGUAGAUAUAUAAUAAGUCGGGCCUGCUCUAUGUAAAAUUAAUGGCCGCGGUAUUUUGACCGUGCGAAGGUAGCAUAAUCAUUAGUCUAUUAAAUGUAGUCUGGAAUGAAGGGUUUGACAAAGAAUAGCUUUCUUAAUUUUAUUUUUGAAUUUGAAUUGUCAGUAAAAAUGCUGACAUAGUGCAGGAGGACGAGAAGACCCUAUAGAACUUAAUACAUAGGUUAGUUUUGGUAGGGUAUUUGGCUUGCAAUUGUAUUUUGUUGGGGCGACAAUUAAUAUAAACAUUUUUAUUUUUUGUCUAUUUAUUAGGUAUAUUGAUCCACUAUUAGUGAUUAAAGACUAAGUUACCUUAGGGAUAACAGCGUGAUCUUAUUUUAGAGUUCAUAUCGAUGAUAAGGAUUGCGACCUCGAUGUUGGAUUAUAAUUCUCUUAAAGCGCAGUAGUUUUAAAGAGCAGUCUGUUCGACUGUUAAAAUUUUACA
rnacentral:rRNA from 1 species